rnacentral:rRNA from 1 species
GGAGUUUGGACCGUGUCUCAGUUCCAAUGUGGGGGACCUUCCUCUCAGAACCCCUACUGAUCGUAGCCUUGGUGGGCCGUUACCCCGCCAACAAGCUAAUCAGACGCAUCCCCAUCCCGAGGCGGCAAGCCUUUCGUGCAACUCUGAUGCCAUCAUCGCACGACAUCCGGCAUUAAUCCGGUUUUCACCGGGCUAUUCCGGACCCCAGGGAAGGUUGGAUACGCGUUACUCACCCGUGCGCCGGUCGCCAUCACCGUGUGCAAGCACACGACAUGCUGCCCCUCGACUUGCAUGUGUUAAGCCUGUAGCUAGCGUUCAUC